rnacentral:sRNA from 1 species
GUCUACAAUCUUUCAAAUGCUUAC